rnacentral:tRNA from 1 species
GGGGCCGUAGUCCAACUGGCAGGAGACCCACGGCUUAGGACCGUGACAGUGCGGGUUCGAAUCCCGCCGGCCCUA